rnacentral:rRNA from 1 species
UACGUAGGGGGCGAGCGUUGUCCGGAUUUAUUGGGCGUAAAGAGCGUGUAGGCGGCCAGGUAGGUCUGCUGUGAAAACUCGGGGCUCAACCUCGAGACGUCGGCGGAAACCAUCUGGCUAGAGUCCGGAAGAGGAGAGUGGAAUUCCUGGUGUAGCGGUGAAAUGCGCAGAUAUCAGGAAGAACACCCGUGGCGAAGGCGGCUCUCUGGGACGGUACUGACGCUGAGACGCGAAAGCGUGGGGAGCGAACAGG